CCAUCUUGGAGGGAAGCGCACAGCUCCCUGAGUGAUGGGGUGCAGAAGGAGGUGUGUGUCCAGGCAGUUAGAAGUGGCAGACGUUCUUGGAGGCUGUGAAAAGGCAUUUGCAGAGAGAGUGGACCACUGACGGAACACUGCAUUUGCUGGUCGCCACCCUGCUGUGCCUCAGUUACCACAUAUUUAGGGCAUCGACUGUGUUUCUGGGAGACGAUGCUCUGAUGGCUUCUUUCUGUUUCUUCUCAUGCAGCUUCCACCAUCUGUGGAAAACAAGAUCUGCUUCUUUUCCCCUGAAGCACCAUGUCUGCAGGGAUGGUGACCCUGUUAGCGUGUUGAAGGAAGUGGUUAAGGGAGAUGUGAGGAUUCUAAUCUAUGAAAUUUGAAUUUCUGGGCUUCCACAUCAGCCACACUCACUCCGCAUCUUCUGUAACCGAUUUCUCUUCAAAGAAGAAACUCCUAAGUAUCAUUUCCUCUUCCUGCUGUUACUGCUACAGUCCCACCAUCAAGAACACCCCUGCUUGGAAAGAGGCAGAGAAGCUCCAAUGACCUCCCACUGUCCCUGCCCAACCCCACUGCCCUUGCCCUCCGUCUGCAAAGAGGAAAAGGCCCAACCCAUGGCCCUCAGCCAAGGUCAGUGCUGAAAGGCAAGGCCAGUGCUUUACCAGCACCAGGUCCAGGACCAACUCAUGCUUCCCUUCCCAGGGUGAGAAACUAUUGAUAAAUGAACCCCAACAGGGGCCAAAUAUGUCUCUUCCUCAACUGAAGGAAAAGACACUUAUUUAUUUAUUUUGGGGGGACAGGGUCUCCCUCUGUUGCCCAGGCUGGAGUGUAGUGGUGUGAUCAUAGCUCACUGUAACCUUGAACUCCUGGGUUUAAGCGAUCCUCCCACCUCACCCUCCUGAGUACCUGGGACUACAGGCAAGAGCAAUUGCACCUGGCAGACCUUUAUUUUAAAUAUGUGAGUUUCCUGUGAAAUAGCCACACUCAAUGAUACUGUGCCGGGGUGUGCCAGGCCUCCUAACUCUUGGGGUCAAGCCACAAAUUAGCAAUACUCUGAGGAUCCGUUUCCAAAAAUUUCACUUUGUUUACAAUAGUAACUCGGGCUGCUUUUGCCCCACACUUCACCAAAUUGUGUUGAUCAUAAAUGGACUUAUAUAGUUACUGUACGAUUUGUAGGGGGAUGCAGGAGGUAGGGCUCAAAGAUUUGCUCUGUUCUCUGUGAGUGCUAUAUAGGAUCAAAGAGUGAGACGGCAUUUCUGGUUAAUAACAGAGCCUGAACCAAGUGUAAGUGAGACACAGUCUGCCCAUUAUGGUGUGUCCCCUUCAAGCAGAUGCAUUUUCACAGCUAAAAAGUCAUUGUAACCCCAGGUGGUUUUGUAUUUGAGGAAUUUAUGUGUGAUGCCUCAGCAUCCUCUUGUCUCCUCAUUCCUGUAUCAAAUAUUCCUGUUUCCUGUAUUCCUGUUUCUUUACCCAUCUGUCACUCACACCAUCUGUAUCUUAUAUUUUCAUAACAACUUGCCAUAGCUUGGAAAGGACAGGUUUUGCAUGUCUGUGUACUUGUGGACAUCAAGUGCUUGAUUUAACGCCCUUCCCUUAUGAGUGCAGCAGGAUCUGAAGAUAAAAUAGUGAUCCCUGUUCUUGGGCCUAGUGGAAGGUGAGGAAGGUUAUUCUUGUCUGUCACAUAUAUUCAUAUGCCGGGCAGUGUGGCAAGGGGAAAACAUCACCAGCCCAAAGCAUCUGAGAAGUCAAAUGCUUGCUCUAUGUCUCCAAGGACAGAUGACUGUGCCCAAAAGGGCGUGAUUCCUCCUACGUGAUAGUGCCAAACCCUUAAACAUUCAUUCCUUCAUUCACUUAUAUAAAAUAGAAUCCGUCUAUAUCUGUUUUUGUAAUCAAGCAAUUUAUCCUAAGCAAAUGUCUAAUGUACAAACAUAUUUGCAUGUUAAUGACCUCAAGGUAGUAUAAACCAAUGAAUCGUGAUUUAUUUAAUCGCACUCCAUCUCAAAAAAAAAAGUUUCUUAAAAUUCAAGUGCUAGGUAAAAGCAUGUGGACAUUGAGACUUUGAUACGUAUUAAAAACUGCACAGCAAAAGUGAAACAAUUUGCCUUUCCAGCAGUCUUAUGUGAGAGUAUACAGUCCAUGUACUUUACAGAGCUUUGUGUUAGCAUUCUUUGUAACCUUAGUAAAUUUGGUAAACGAAAAAUUAUAUUGGAUAAUUUAAAUGCUGGCUUCCUUAUAUAACAAUGUAAGGAAGUAACAAUGAUCUCACUUUCUUUGUUAUCCAUUUUUAUAUACACUAUUGUUAUCGCCUGUGGUGUCCAUUUGCCCCCUUUUCUACCAUGAAAAUUUUUGCAUUUGAUAUACGAUAGCUUUCUAAAAUAUUAAUUGAUGAUUAAUAUAAUUAAUAAUUAUUUUAAUAUUUUACCUAUAAUAUUGUCAAAAAUAUUUCCCAAUAAUACUUUUAUAUUUAAUUCACGGGAAUUUUACUGUAAAAUUAGUGCUUUUUAUUUGUUAAAUCUUUAAUUUUGUCAUUCUUUUACUUAUGUUUUCUGAAUCUGAUAUCAUGACCUCUACAAUGUUUGUUUACAAAAAUAUUUACUGAUAUAUUUUAAUAUCUGUUGUUGUAGUUUGUUAUGUUGAACUCAUUAAUAUUUUGAGAUUAACUUGGGAAUGCAAAAGUACAAAUGAUAACAUGAAUUUUAAUUUCCAAACAAUUAACAUGCAUCGACUCCUGAAUAAACCAUUCUUUUCUUAUUGCAUUCAAAUCCCACACAUGGCCGGGCGUGGUGGCAAAUGACUGUAAUCCCAGCACUUUGGGAGACCGAGGCGGGUGGAUCACCUGAGGCCAGGAGUUCGAGACCAGCCUGGUCAACAUGGUAAAACCCUGUCUCUACUAAAAUUACAAAAAUUAGCCGAGCGUGGUGACAUGCAUCUGUAAUCCUAAUUACUUGGGAGGCUGAGGCAGGAGAAUCACUUGAACCCGGGAACUGGAGGUUGCAGUGAGCAAAGAUCGCACCACUGUACUCCAGCCUGGGCCCAAAUUGCAAACCAUACGGCCCAAAUUGCAAAACCAUCAUCUGGACCUGCCAUAAAGCCUUUGUCUGUUCUAGAUCUUACUCAAGGCUUUCAGCCUUCCCU
rnacentral:lncRNA from 10 species